UGCAGUCGAGAAUCUUUCGCAAUGGGCGCAAGCCUGACGAAGCGACGCCGUGUGAGCGAAGAAGGCCUUCGGGUUGUAAAGCUCUUUCGCUAGGGAACAAGAGAGAUAGGAUAACACCCUAUUGAUUUGAUGGUA
rnacentral:rRNA from 1 species